CAUUUGGCUCUGGACACUUGAACAAUUUAGUGUUGGAAAUAUGCAUUGAGCCUUCAGCUGCCAUGUGCUGUUCUAAUAAAAGACUAGCAUCCUCACUGUGUUGAAGAAGCAAUCUAGCACAUCAGUGUGACCUAGUAUGUUGUCCAGGUGUUUUAAGUGCCAAUCUUGAUAAAGGUCCUCAUAUGGACCGAAACGUCGAUGAAAAACGGCAUCAACAGUGAAC